rnacentral:rRNA from 1 species
AUACGGAGGAUCCGAGCGUUAUCCGGAUUUAUUGGGUUUAAAGGGAGCGUAGGCGGACGCUUAAGUCAGUUGUGAAAGUUUGCGGCUCAACCGUAAAAUUGCAGUUGAUACUGGGUGUCUUGAGUACAGUAGAGGCAGGCGGAAUUCGUGGUGUAGCGGGGAAAUGCUUAGAUAUCACGAAGAAAUCCGAUUGCGAAGGCAGCCUGCUGGACUGUAACUGACGCUGAUGCUCGAAAGUGUGGGUAUCAAACAGGAUUAGAUACCCUGGUAGUCCACACAGUAAACGAUGAAUACUCGCUGUUUGCGAUAUACAGUAAGCGGCCAAGCGAAAGCGUUAAGUAUUCCACCUGGGGAGUACGCCGGCAACGGUGAAACUCAAAUGAAUUGACGGGG